rnacentral:rRNA from 1 species
CCUACGGGAGGCAGCAGUGAGGAAUAUUGGUCAAUGGACGAGAGUCUGAACCAGCCAAGUAGCGUGAAGGAUGACUGCCCUAUGGGUUGUAAACUUCUUUUAUAUGGGAAUAAAAUGUUCCACGUGUGGGAUUUUGUAUGUACCAUAUGAAUAAGGAUCGGCUCACUCCGUGCCAGCAGCCGCGGUAAUACGGAGGAUCCGAGCGUUAUCCGGAUUUAUUGGGUUUAAAGGGAGCGUAGGUGGAUUGUUAAGUCAGUUGUGAAAGUUUGCGGCUCAACCGUAAAAUUGCAGUUGAAACUGGCAGUCUUGAGGACAGUAGAGGUGGGCGGAAUUCGUGGUGUAGCGGUGAAAUGCUUAGAUAUCACGAAGAACUCCGAUUGCGAAGGCAGUUCACUGGACUGCAACUGACACUGAGGCUCGAAAGUGUGGGUAUCAAACAGGAUUAGAUACCCCAGUAGUC